rnacentral:rRNA from 1 species
UACAGAGGUCUCAAGCGUUGUUCGGAUUCAUUGGGCGUAAAGGGUGCGUAGGCGGCGCGGUAAGUCGGGUGUGAAAUCUCGGGGCUUAACUCCGAAACUGCAUUCGAUACUGCCGUGCUUGAGGACUGGAGAGGAGACUGGAAUUCAUGGUGUAGCAGUGAAAAUGCGUAGAGAUCAUGAGGAAGACCAGUGGCGAAGGCGGGUCUCUGGGCAGUAACUGACGCUGAGGAGCGAAAGCGUGGGGAGCGAACAGG